rnacentral:lncRNA from 1 species
CUGAGCCACCCAGGGAUCCGAGUAACCACUUCUAAAGGCAGCUGUAAGUGCUCUCUAAAUGUCUGUGGGCCUCCAGCCUCUAUCUGAGCUCUCUUUUCCUGCUGUACAUUUACAUUGGACCUUAGAUCCUUAAGCAGUGCCACUUUCCUCAGCCACCACUCCCCUGACUUCUCAGUGUCAUCCCUUUGUUUUUCAUCCUCCAAAACACCUCUUCCUAACUCUAUGGCUCAAAAUGUGUAGAGUGAAGAAAGGCUCUUCCUGCAAAAGCUCUCUGCUUCUUUUUACCCUGAACUCUCCUGCUUGUGUUUUCUUUGGGUAAAUUCCUCUCUCUUCUUGGCAUCACAGCUGGGACAGGGUAGAAGAGAUACCCAGCUUUCUAGUACUGGAGAGGGAAAAGUACCCCCUUGAUCCUGUCAAUGAUGCCAGCAUGUGCAGUAGCCCCACUUCCACAUGUGGAAUGGAUAUGGUUCAGGGUCAUAUUUCCCCAAGGAUGGAUGCAGGAGGACUGUAGAAGUCCAGAGGUUGUUUUGGUUUGGUUAGGUUUGGUUUGGUUUUUUGCCAUGUACUUGAAUGGUGCAAUGCUAUCAAGUUGAUUCAACUGCUGGACAGUUGUGUAAGAUGUUCAGGUGUAACGAACUAGGUGGAGUAGGUGCUGGAGACAGUCAGGCAUAUGGAGGAGAUAAGAUGGCUAUGGUCUGAUGCCCACCCCCAGGAAUUCAUGAGAACAUAGGAACAAUUCCAACACAAGACAGAGAGAGUUGAAGUGGAUUCGAACAGCAAGCUAGGUACGGAGAGCUGCCAGAAUUAUUUGGGGGGAUAUUAUAAGGUAGGCCAAGAGUCAAGGAAAAUUUUGGAAGAAAGGAGGUUGAGGUAGGGUGAUGGAACAUCCAAAGAAAACUUGGAAAUGUUCGGACACUGUUGUGGUUCCAAUAUCAGAGAGUCAGGUCAUUGUCAAUAGAAUCUGACCUCUAGGCAGAGCUAAAGAGAUUCAAAGAUUUUUUAGAAUUAUGCAGAGACAAAUGGUAGGAUGACAACAUUUACCAUUAUUUUGGAGAAAGUAAACUUCUGAGAUAAGAAAGGUGUAAUCUGUUAUCAACAACACAAGGCAGUAAUUCUGCUGAAAUGAUGGAAGGAUUUGUCCCAGAAGACUGGGAUUGUCCCAGAAGAUUGGAUUGUGGAAGACGAAGUCAACAAUUUCCUGCUAUACUCAAUUGCUUGAAGACAAGUAAGAGGUAAGGGUGGAAGAUAUUUGGAUAUUGCAUAUAUUUCAAACUUACUAUAUUAAAAACUGGAGCCCACGAUCUCUCCUCCAAAUAACUGUUCUUUUCGUAACGUAGUUGGUCUUGAAUAGUAGAUAGGCUGGGGCCAGGCACGUGGGACAGUAAGGCCGGUGAUUACGGGGCCCCAAUGUGGCUCCAGGGAUGGAACACAGCAAAUGUCUAAUAUCUGAUCCCAAUUCAGCUAUAAUUUGGACAGGUGGGUCAAUCUCAGGCACUGAAUCUAGGGCAGUGUAAAAUAUUUCUUUCCUGGAAGAGAGAAGAUUGGGGCUUACCUGUAAACUAGUGACUACAUUGCUCUGUCAUGGGAGAAAGAGACAGGCAGGGGAGCCAGGAGCAUCUUGUAAGGCCAGAAAGUAAAAAGCAUCCAUAAAAACAAAAGGAUUGGGUCAUAUUGAAAGGAAAAAGGAGCCAACCCGAGAGAGCUCCCAAAGGCCAAAGUUGGAACAAUUUGAGCAACAAAAGAAAUAAUGUUGUAUUGGACUAAAACACAAAGUACAAAAUAAGUAUGCAUGAGUUUGUACUGCUAUAACAAAAGAAUUGAACAAAUAAGAGGAGACAAAUUUUCUCUAUACAAGAAUUCCAAAUAACAUUGUGUAGAUAGGGCAGCCCAGGUGGCUCAGCGGUUUAGCGCCGCCUUCAGCUCCGGGAGUGGUCCUGGAGACCCAGGAUCGAGUCCCACAUGGGGCUUCUAGCAUGGAGCCUGCUUCUCCCUCUGUGUCUCUGUCCCUCUCUCUCUGUCCCUCUCUCUCUGUUUCUCAUGAAUAAAUAAAGAAAAUCUUUAAAAAAACAACAACAACAUUGUGUAGAUAUACCCCACUCCACCUCUCACUCCUUCCAGCCACAAUGUAGGCUCCACUUAGGGGCUUGCUGCCAAAGCACUGAGAAUAGAAAGAGAAAAAAGAGAGCUCCAUGCAGGAGAAACUUGGCCAGCACAACCUUAGCCAGGUCAUGAAGAUUAGCAACACCCAGCUGAUCUCAUGUACUGCCUGAUGUGAUGUAAUGAGAGGGGCAUGUCGCCUCUGUGGUUUUUUUCCCCCAAAACACAGAACCUCAGUCUAAGCAUACAGAAAACAGAAACCUAAAUUUAAGAACCUGCCAGUACUCCUCAAAACUGUCACGGUCAGAGAAAACAAGGAAAGACUGAGAAACUGUCAUAGACCAGAGGGAUUAAGGAGGCAUGACAACUAAAUCCAACAUGGACCCUCGAUUGGAUCCUAGACAAAAAAAAGGAUGUAAGUGGGAAAAUUGGUGAAAUCUGAAUGAAGUUUGGCAUUUAGUUAAAAGUAAAUGUACCAAUGUUAUCACAUAGAUUUAACAAAUGUACCAACGUUCUACAGCAACGUUAGGUGAAGCUGAGUGAAGGGCAUACAUGGACUCACCGCUAUCUUUGCAACUUUUCUGUGAAUCUAAAAUGAUUCCAAAACAGAGUUUAUUAAGAAAAUAAAAUUCCUGAGUACAAUAAUGUCUAUGCGGGAAGGGGAAAAUAUAAUUAAAAUAUUCCGAGGGGGACACCUGGGUGACUCAGUGGUUGAGCAUCUGCCUUGGGCUAGGUCAUGAUCCUUGGGUUCUGGGAUCGAGUCCUGCAUCAGGCUCCCUGUUGGGAGCCUGCUUCUCCCUCUGUGUCUCUGCCUCUCUCUCUGGGUCUCUCAUGAAUUAAAAUAAUCUUAAAAAAAAAAAAAAGAUUUUGAGGGACUUGAUUUAUCAUCCAUAAAGAGGAGGUUUUAAGAAUUUGGUAUGUUAAAAAAAUAUAUAUAUAUACAUUGCAUUUCAAAGGAUAUCCACUAAAAAUGGGGUUGCAAAUUAUCUGUAAAGGGCUAGAUAGUAAAUAAUUUUAGUCAUUGUAGACCCCCUUUGGUGUUUGCUCUAACCUACCUACUGUCAUAGCAUCAAAGUAGACAUAGACAAUGUGCAAAAUGAGUGUGGCUGUGCUGGAAUACAUUGUUAUUUACCAAAAAACAGGCAUCAGGUUAGGUUUGACCCACAGGCCAUAAUUUGUCAAUCCUUGCACUAAAAGAACAAGACCAGAGUUUAUCUUCCAAUGAAUAAAGGGAAAAAAUUGAGUAAUUCAUUAAAAAUACCUAGUUAUCUAACAAAAAGGCAAGAAAGUGAGAAAAAAACGAAAUAUAAAACAGGGUGAAACAGAAAGUGCCAAGUAAAAGGGUAAUUUUGAAUCUCAUGCUUUAGUGAUGACAUUAAAUAUAAUGGAACAUGUAAUGGAACUGCAAAUGGAAUACAUGAUGUUCAGGGUGGGAGAGUCUGUGUUGUAUGAAUGGAGGUCUCAGUUGUUGGGUUUCCUAUGAACAAUUUCCACGAGGAUCCAUACUCUAAUAAAGACAGUUGGGAAGGAGGUGGGUAACUGGGUGAUGGGCCGUGAUGUAAUGAGUGCUCGGUGUUGUAUGCAACUGAUGAAUCACUAAACUCCACCCUGAAAUGAAUAAUACACUAUAUAUUAACUAACUUGAAUUUAAAUUAAAAAAUUUUUUUUUAAUUUAAAAAAA